CAAAUGUACACAUGAUAAAAUAUCCCAUUUUCUUGAAAUAUUCCUUCUAAUGUACUAAUUAUUAUCAUAUAUGCCGGCCGACCCUUGCAAGAAAUAUGCGUGUGAGAUCCAGAGGUGUCUAGUUGGAGGUUCGCUGCGACGCCGUGUUCGAGGCUAUGCGCCAGUGCUGCCUUAAACACAAGCCCGUGUCUCUGGUGUGUUCCGGAUACGACCUAAAUCCGAGAGAGUUCGCCCCUGUCACUGACAGGCCCAAUCAGAACUUGCAGAA